rnacentral:rRNA from 1 species
CCUACGGGUGGCAGCAGUGGGGAAUAUUGGACAAUGGGCGAAAGCCUGAUCCAGCCAUGCCGCGUGUGUGAAGAAGGCCUUCGGGUUGUGAAGCACUUUCAGUGGGGAAGAAAGCCUUGGGGCUAAUACCCUCGAGGAAGGACAUCACCCACAGAAGAAGCACCGGCUAACUCCGUGCCAGCAGCCGCGGUAAUACGGAGGGUGCGAGCGUUAAUCGGAAUUACUGGGCGUAAAGCGCGCGUAGGCGGUCUGAUAAGCCGGUUGUGAAAGCCCCGGGCUCAACCUGGGAACGGCAUCCGGAACUGUCAGGCUAGAGUGCAGGAGAGGAAGGUAGAAUUCCCGGUGUAGCGGUGAAAUGCGUAGAGAUCGGGAGGAAUACCAGUGGCGAAGGCGGCCUUCUGGACUGACACUGACGCUGAGGUGCGAAAGCGUGGGUAGCAAACAGGAUUAGAUACCCUGGUAGUC